CUAAAAAUAUUGCUCAUCCGACCUAAAAAUAUUGCUCAACCACCUAUCCUAUCCUCUCCGGCACCUCUGACUCUACUCUGUAUCCCUGAUCUAAGCUCCUCCUCUAGAUCAAAUACAGUUCUCGUACCCGAGACUGUGGUGCAUUCUAAACACUAUAGGCUACAAACCUCCGGACAAAUCAACAUUUUCACGGUUGAGUCCUGUAUAAACUGCUUACCUGAAAUAUAUACAUAAGAUUUAAUCAGUGCAAAUUGAGGUGAGCCGAAGAGAAAGAGUU